rnacentral:lncRNA from 1 species
GGGAGCUUUCCAUAACUCCGGCGAAAUUCUUGGUAGCUUCCGACAGAUCCUUUCUUGGUAUAUCCAUUGUCAUUCCCGUGGACGACGGUUCAUGAUCCGGUGUGGCACAAACCUGAGCUCAACAUCAAGCACUUCAUUGGUGGUGUUGAAGAAGCUUUGGGUUGUCUUUGGUUCGGUUUUACACUUUGAGAGUUUAAUUAUUCCGUAUUGUAGUUGUAAUAAUUUUUUGUAUACUACACUUUAAACUCUACAAAUGGUAUCAGAGCUUAGGCUAGUGGUAAAAAGUGUUAAAACAACCUGAAAAUCGGAUUGGAAGUCGAAGGAGUUCGGUUUUGUUCGAAAACAAUUUCAGCAGAAUCUUCAAACCCAUUUUCUGGAAAAACGACACACCUGGUGGACGAACGGAGAGCACGACUAGACUCUAGACGACAAGCAGAACAUUCCGGUGUAGCGCGUGUGACACAUGCACCGACAGUGGAGACGGCACGUGACGCCACGCGUAGAGGUCACAGGAGCCGUGUGAGGGUGCGUAUGGAGGUUUCAGCCAGAGGUCAAAAAAGACAGAUUGUUCUUUGAUGAAUUUUUGACCUUCUGGUGGUGUUGAAUUUCAAUUUGAUGCACUGUGGAAGCAGAUACAGUCUCAAGCAGAAAAGUGGAAAUGGAGAAACUUUUCCGUUGGCGACUUGGUGGUGUUUCUUGGUGUUUCAGCAACUGUUGGAUGACUUAGGGUAGUUACUGGAGGCUUCAAAUCGAUAAAAACUCGCAUCUUUCCUUAAAAUAUGAACCAAUAGAUUGGUUCACUCGGUUUGCG